AAAUUAGGACAGUGUUGCCAUUGUGUUCUAUUCUGUGAAGUUGUUUAAUCUGAAAGUAAGUUAAAAUCGGUAUUGUAAUCUUUUGGGUAGUGAAAGCCAAGUAGAGAAAAGGUUGACACUAUGUGAACUUGCCUUGAAUUAAAGCGGUAUUUGGACGCAGCAGUGAAAAUUCAAGUCAGCAAACAGCCCUGGAGCAUAUGGCACUUAUGAAUAUAUAACCAGGACUGUACUUUAACCGAAGCUUCUGCUGUGGAUUUUUUGGAAUGCCAGGAAUUUUAUAACUAAAUAGUGUACAAUCGGUUAAAGGGACAGUCUUUCAUAUAUGUCAUUCAUCGGUGGUCCCUUGCAGAUGAGGAUGACGCUCUUCCACUCUCAGGGAUGAGGGCAUCGCUGGCUAGGCAGCAUUUGUUGCCCAUCCUUAAUUGCCCAGAGGGUAGUUGAGAGUCAACCACAUUGCUGUGGGUUUGGAGCCACAUGUAGGCCAGA